UACGGGGGGGGCAAGCGUUGUUCGGAAUUACUGGGCGUAAAGGGCUCGUAGGCGGCCAACUAAGUCGGAUGUGAAAUCCCCAAGCUUAACUUGGGAACUGCAUCCGAUACUGGAUGGCUUGAAUCCGGGAGAGGGAUGCAGAAUUCCAGGUGUAGCGGUGAAAUGCGUAGAUAUCUGGAGGAAUACCGGUGGCGAAGGCGGCAUCCUGGACCGGCAUUGACGCUCAUGCACGAAAGCGUGGGGAGCAAACAGG
rnacentral:rRNA from 1 species